GUUUGCUUGAGGCCAUCUGAAAAAAAAACACAUGUUGCUAUGGGAAAGCAAAUUUGUUUUCUGUAUGAUUGGACAGUUUCCUGACUACUAUCAAAGCUACACUUCCUGGGACUGGAAUGCAAAAGUAGGAAGUCAGGAAACACCUGGAGUAACAGGGUUUGGAGACAUAGUAUCUGACUAAGAUCUCCAGAAAGGAAUCAGCUUUCAUAGUUUUCAGUGUCAUUAUU